GACGAACGCUGGCGGCGUGCUUAACACAUGCAAGUCGAGCGGUAAGGCCCUUUCGGGGGUACGACGAGCGGCGAACGGGUGAGUAACACGUGGGUGACCUGCCCUCAGCUCUGGGAUAAGCCUGGGAAACCGGGUCUAAUACCGGAUAUGACUCCAUGACGCAUGUUGUGGGGUGGAAAGCCUUGUGCGGCUGAGGAUGGGCCCGCGGCCUAUCAGCUUGUUGGUGGGGUGAUGGCCUACCAAGGCGACGACGGGUAGCCGGCCUGAGAGGGCGACCGGCCACACUGGGACUGAGACACGGCCCAGACUCCUACGGGAGGCAGCAGUGGGGAAUCUUGCGCAAUGGGCGAAAGCCUGACGCAGCGACGCCGCGUGAGGGAUGACGCCUGUGU
rnacentral:rRNA from 1 species